rnacentral:antisense_RNA from 1 species
CUGCUUGCAGCGUUCCUGCGUGAGCGUCAGGCAAAUCAGGCCGCGGCCGUAUUUCGCCAUGAAGUUGAUCGCUUCCGGCGUGAUGAAUUCGGCGGCCAUGAUCA